AGGCACAAACAAGGGCACAGUGGCAGAUUGUAUUUUAUAUGUCUGCAGGUAUUUAUAUCUUCGGUGCAAUAUUCUAUGUAAUUUUUGCAAGUGGUGAACUACAGCCAUGGGCACGAGAGACUACAGAGAUCAGUAAUGAUAAUAGUUAUGAAGCCCAACCAUUAGGACCUUCGGCUCGUGAAAUCCUUGCAGGAUUUCCGACGGCUUGAUUUACCAUGCCGUACAAUUACAUGUUGUAUACGUCUUUGUUUUAUUGUUUUUGCUUUGAAUGUGAGACCUCUACACAUUAGAUAGCUUAUUUGUGGGAUACCUUUGUGUUUCUUAUAGAGCAUACCUUUUAAAGAAAACAACAUAGUUCAUUAAGUCUUUACUAUAUCAAGUAAUAUUUUUGUUAUUAAUAUCUUUAGCUUAUUAAUCAGGCUCUUAUUUGAUUAGAAGAUGUGUAACUGAACGUAUAUCUAAAGUUAAGUUAACACUAGAACGUAUAGACAUUUAUCGCACCGAGGGUAAAAUAUCAAGUUGUGAUUGGUUUAACGUCGUCACGUGGUGACCACUAUGAGACCGUAUGGGGUUAGUAAAUUUCAUAGGGGGUUUAUGACGCGUUAAUGCUGACAUUAUCUAUCGAUGUUGUUGUGUUUCAUUGUUUAUUUUUCAACAUAACGCAGCAGAAAAAGUCCAGCGUGCGAUAAAUUCGUUAUACGGUUAACUACUUACCUCCUACGGACCAUAGAGGGUGAAUAAAAUCCAUAGAGGAUUCGGCCUCCGGCCUCACCCCCUAUGAAUUUGACUAACCCUCUAUGGAUCCUUACGGGGUAAGUAACGAACUAUAUAACUUAUAACAUCACAUUGAUCACUUUAUACAAUUUAUUAUAAAAAGAAUACAGGGUCAAUAAACACGAUAAUAAUGAAUUAAGAAUAUUCAUCGGACAAAAUAUUGGAGAUUAUUUAUUAGACUUAAACCAAACUUACUACAACACAUUUGUU
rnacentral:lncRNA from 1 species